AGUCGAGCGCGUCUGAUUUGAUGCUUGCAUUAAUGAAAGAUGAGCGGCGGACGGGUGAGUAACGCGUGGGUAACCUGCCCUAUACACAUGGAUAACAUACUGAAAAGUUUACUAAUACAUGAUAAUAUAUAUUUACGGCAUCGUAGAUAUAUCAAAGUGUUAGCGGUAUAGGAUGGACCCGCGUCUGAUUAGCUAGUUGGUGAGAUAACUGCCCACCAAGGCGACGAUCAGUAGCCGACCUGAGAGGGUGAUCGGCCACAUUGGAGCUGAGACACGGUCCAAACUCCUACGGGAGGCAGCAGUGGGGAAUAUUGCACAAUGGGCGCAAGCCUGAUGUAGCAACGCUGCGUGAACGAUGAAGGUCUUCGGAUCGUAAAGUUCUGUUGCAGGGGAAGAUAAUGACGGUACCCUGUGAGGAAGCCCCGGCUAACUACGUGCCAGCAGCCGCGGUAAUACGUAGGGGGCUAGCGUUAUCCGGAUUUACUGGGCGUAAAGGGUGCGUAGGUGGUCUUUCAAGUCGGUGGUUAAAGGCUACGGCUCAACCGUAGUUAGCCUCCGAAACUGGAAGACUUGAGUGCAGGAGAGGAAAGUGGAAUUCCCAGUGUAGCGGUGAAAUGCGUAGAUAUU
rnacentral:rRNA from 1 species